UACGAAGGGGGCUAGCGUUGCUCGGAAUCACUGGGCGUAAAGCGCACGUAGGCGGAUCUUUUAAGUCAGGGGGUGAAAUCCCAAGGCUCAACCUUGGAACUGCCUUUGAUACUGGGGAUCUCGAGUCCGGAAGAGGUGAGUGGAACUGCGAGUGUAGAGGUGAAAUUCGUAGAUAUUCGCAAGAACACCAGUGGCGAAGGCGGCUCACUGGUCCGGUACUGACGCUGAGGUGCGAAAGCGUGGGGAGCAAACAGGG
rnacentral:rRNA from 1 species